rnacentral:lncRNA from 1 species
AAAUAUAUUUGCAACACAGGUGACGACCAGCAAGCUAGCCAUCUCCCCGGGUUAGGCACAGUGUUCCUUGACGCCUUCGGCGCCGUGGGUUCUUUUACCACGAGCCCCCGCUCCUAGGAGUGGAGGCGGUCGAGGAAUUGGCCGAACGACGAACAAUGCCAUCGUCGGAGGAUUGGAUGACGCGAGCACNNNNNNNNNNNNNNNNNNNNNNNNNNNNNNNNNNNNNNNNNNNNNNNNNNNNNNNNNNNNNNNNNNNNNNNNNNNNNNNNNNNNNNNNNNNNNNNNNNNNAUGCAUGGCUUAAUCUUUGAGACAAGCAUAUGACUACUGGCAGGAUCAACCAGGUAGCACGUCCUCGAUGACGUCCAGCAUUGGUUGUCGUCCUCCGGUUCCACUUGCAUAGAGACGCAGAGGCAACAGCCAAGCCGGUUGUCGAUUUCCAGCGGGCAUAGCUCAUCGUUCAUGAGGAUCGGCACAGAGAGUUGCGUAUCCUACCACGUAACUGUGGAGAGGUAGAGGCAACCCUAGUUCCGGUUGUUCUCAGCACAAAGAGCUUGGGUCGGGUCGAGGCAACCAAAUGGGCCAUGAGCCUUUAUCGUGAGCAACAUCCGAGACCAACGACGCGAGCGAGGUUGCCUUGAUAACAACAGGCACAUUACAUGCCCGUGAUACGAGGCAACGCCACAAGCGCAAUCCAGCCACAGCAAAACGCCCGUACGACGUCCGCCGUGUGUCAACAUAUAUUUCACGCGCCACUUCCCGUAUGUCGGGUACUCAUAUGCAAGCACUUCCUGAUCCAUCGAUGGUACAAAGCCAACUGAUUGGUAGGACACGGCGCCAAUAGUCGGCCGUCGAACGACGGGGGAUCUACCAGCAGACACGGGUCCAAAGCUGCUCAUGCGUUUAGUAGCCUACAUCGGUCAAGCCAACCGAGCAUCCGCCCGUGCAAUGCACGGGAGGUUUACUCGAAGGAGGCGUCCAGAGAGACCACAUCACGCGUGUGUCACCCCCGCAACGAUAAGUUUUGGGGGCAACUAUAUUCCGAAAGGCAACGUCGUUGCAACUUUGUCUAGUCGGUCUCAUGCACGGGAUAUGCUACUUUCCUGUUUCCCGAGCCAAGUUAGGCUGUUGGGUCAGAAUUUCACGGGACACGUACACGGGACCGGCAGGGACAAGGCUGCACGAUAUCCCGUCAAGCUGACCGUGUGCGAAACGAUACGUACUUUUCUGCAACCCGAACGGCCGUUGAACCGUCGGAUCAGAAUUUGGCACGAUUCGUACACGGGACCGACGGGACAACGCGGCACGAGAUCACAUCGACCUGACCGUGUGCGGACACGAUACGUACUUUUCUGCAACCCGAACAGCCGUUCGACCGACGGAUCAGAAUUUGGCAUGAGUCGUACACGGGACAGGAGAACGACGGGACAUCCGAGCCAACGUUUGGGAAAAGCAAGGGUUACGGGAGAAACGGGAGGUUUGCAUAUGAUUUCAUAUGCAAACCCACCGAUUUCCCACACCCAAGCAGGGAGGAGCCCCCUCCUCCCCAAUAUACCCGAGGGUUUUAGCCCCCCUUGGGACCCCUGCCCUUCGUUUGUGAAGAAGGGGUACACUGUUUUUCCCCGGAUCCCCGUUUACACGUUUUUUGGCCCGUAUGGCCGUACAUGCAUCCGUCCAUGCCACGUACAUGGUUUUCACCCGUUUUCCAUGGUGCGCGCCCAGUUUUUUGAAACACGGCCCCCGUGCCCGUUUUUUCCCAUUUCCUCACGUUCACGUUUUUUGGCCCGUGUGGCCGUACGUGCACCCGUUCAUGCCACGCACAUGGUUUUCACCAGUUUUCCAUGGUGCGCGCCCAGUUUUUUGCAACACGGCCGUCGUACCCCGUGUUUCCCCGUUUCCUCAAGUUCACGUUUUUUGGCCCGUGUGCCCGUACGUUCAUCCGUCCAUGCCACGAACAAGGUUUUCACCCGUUUUCCAUGGCGCGCCCAGUUUUUUGCAACACGGCCGUCGUACCCCGUUCUUUCCCGUUUCCUCACGUUCACGUUUUUUGGCCCGUGUGCCCGUACGUGCAUCCGUCUAUUCCACGCACAUGGUUUGCCCCAGUUUUCCAUGGUGCGCGCCCAGUUUAUUGCAACACGGCCGCCGUACCCGUUUUUUCCCCGUUUCCUCACGUUCACGUUUUUUGGCCCGUGUGCCCGUACGUGC